rnacentral:rRNA from 1 species
CAGCCGCCGCGGGAAUACGUAGGGUGCAAGCGUUAAUCGGAAUUACUGGGCGUAAAGCGUGCGCAGGCGGUUUGUUAAGACAGAUGUGAAAUCCCCGGGCUCAACCUGGGAACUGCAUUUGUGACUGGCAAGCUAGAGUGUGGCAGAGGGAGGUGGAAUUCCGCGUGUAGCAGUGAAAUGCGUAGAUAUGCGGAGGAACACCGAUGGCGAAGGCAGCCCCCUGGGCCAACACUGACGCUCAUGCACGAAAGCGUGGGGAGCAAACAGGAUUAGAUACCCCUGUAGUCCCUGUCUCUUAUAC